UACGUAGGGCGCAAGCGUUAUCCGGAAUUAUUGGGCGUAAAGAGCUCGUAGGCGGUUUGUCGCGUCUGCCGUGAAAGUCCGGGGCUCAACUCCGGAUCUGCGGUGGGUACGGGCAGACUAGAGUGAUGUAGGGGAGACUGGAAUCCUGGUGUAGCGGUGAAAUGCGCAGAUAUCAGGAGGAACACCGAUGGCGAAGGCAGGUCACUGGGCCGCAACUGACGCUGAGGAGCGAAAGCAUGGGGAGCGAACAGG
rnacentral:rRNA from 1 species